UACGUAGGGUGCGAGCGUUAAUCGGAAUUACUGGGCGUAAAGCGUGCGCAGGCGGUUUUGCAAGCCGGAUGUGAAAUCCCCGGGCUCAACCUGGGAAUGGCAUUCGGGACUGCAAGGCUGGAGUGCGGCAGAGGAGACUGGAAUUCCUGGUGUAGCAGUGAAAUGCGUAGAUAUCAGGAGGAACACCGGUGGCGAAGGCGGGUCUCUGGGCAGUAACUGACGCUGAGGAGCGAAAGCGUGGGGAGCGAACAGG
rnacentral:rRNA from 1 species